AAACAGGAACAGCACAUCUGAACAAGCAGUGAACACCCUGCACCUUCACCCACGAUUAGAGUUCAGUAGCGGCUGUUCUUUCGAGUUUGUGAAGCAAGGUUGCAAGAACCUUUACCUGGACAUACCUAAAUGUGGAAAAUGAAGAUUCAAGCUCCUGAUCCGCAGUUAAAAUUGCUGUUGUGGAACGACGAAGUGCAGGUGACCUACACGGAGCAGAACAGAGGAGACAAGGGGAGAGACGAGUGAUGCAAAUGUGAAGAGUUUAGAAGAACAGAGACCUGUGGACAGGACUGAAAAUGACUGGGGAGGAGUAGGGAGCUGAAGAAGAGAGAAAGGAGAAUUAGAAAAUAAAGUAGAGGUCAGCUGACUCGACAUUAUUUUAUUUGAGUGACUGGCUUUACUGCAAUGACUGCAAUGGGGAUUUUCCUUGACACGAUGUGGAUUUUGUCUUCCAUCAGGCAGUGAGGCAGAAACACAGUCUGGAUAAGGAUCUAAAUUUUGAGCUGUUUAUCUGAAGCAAGGCUGGGUGCCUGCCCAUCACUGGCUGCAAAGCAUAUGAGUUUAAAAGCCUGAACCAUUGGAAUUUCUUAGCAGCAGUAUGAUGCCUCUGCUUCAGCACUUGUAACCCCCUCUCAGGAGGAGCGGUGCUAACCCACUAGAGUGCCCAGACUGUAAAGGUCUUUUCAUAACAUAAUUACUGGAGCUCAAAAUAUAUGAAGAAUGAAACUGCCAGUUAUCCAAAUAUCUUGGAGAAAGAUAGACAGGGACAUGCAGUUUUGGGAAGGAAACCCAUUUGCCAUGAUUAGAUUUAAUAUGUUCAGCAAUAUUCAAUAAUGCUGUAUUUCUCGAGUAACAUUCGUUAUUAAGAAGGAUAAUAAAUUAAGAGCCAUGUAAAAUAUUCCUGUAUAGUCAACUUAAGAAAAUAAGGGAAUAAUUUGAAACAUUCAUUGCCUAUUCUAAGGUUCUUGACUUACAUGAUUCUUGGCAAGACAGAAGGAAGUCUCCAGUCCUCGGGUUUGAACUUGAAAAUAUGACACUAUUAUUUCAUUUGCAUUGUUUACAUGGAAUAAUACGUGUGUAAGGUAACCCAGAGGACCUUCCCUCUCCUCAGAAAAUGUGCUUUUCUUUGGGAAUAUGCAGACUCAAACCAUGAUCUUACAAAUAAUCACACUAGCAUUUAAUGUGAGGAGUCCUAUUGAUUUCAGUGGGACCACACACAGUAGGAAAAUAGAGCAUGGGUAGAAACACUUGCAGAUUCAGACCAAAGAAUCUAGACUAUAUAGACAGACCCCAUAAAACUAGAUAGUUCUCUUCAGCUAGGGGACUAAAUUUUUUAAAAUACAAGAGAAGCUGACAAUGCAUUCUAUAAAAUAUUUCAAAUAAUCAAAAAUUUGAUGCUGUUCCAAAAAAUCAGUUCAACAUUGGCAUUUUAUUAUUAUUAAUAUAUUUAACAAGUUAGCUAUUAUAAUUAAAAAUAAUGUUUGAAAUAAGGCAUUGCAUCACUGAGGAUUUCCCCCAUUUUCAACACAUUUUCUUUGCAAGAAAAUUGCAUAUUCUUCCAAACUCCCUACUGUAGUUGCUCAAAAUAGUUGUGUGUACUGCACCAAAUUACCAUAAACAAUUUUAUAGGGAAUAUGCUUGUAAAGGACUGACAAAGGAUUGUGGUUUAAAUUUUCAAUGGGAAUGUAAAAAAAACAUAUAUGGAGUAUAAACAGAUGCCCAAGGGAUGUAUUUUAGAUAUAGGCAUAAAAGGUAGUAUUUAACCAUUAUAAACAAAAGCCAGAACUUGAGUCAUGGUUACCCAGGUUGGGACAUCCACUGAGUCCAGUGCUCUUGGGGCCGAAGACCCUUGGAGCCACCUAAGACAGAUAUAGCCCUUCCAGGUCUGGCACUCAUUGGGAUGUCUGUGCACAACACUCUACUGAACAGUGAAGAUCUUUCAGGCAAGGAUUGUCCCUCAGUUAUACUUGUUCAGUGUCCAGCUUCACGAGGGAGGUGUGAAUGUGCAUCCACUGAGACACAGCUGUGCAGCUAAUGAUUGGUGUUGGGCUAGUAGCUGAAACUAUAAAGGAACAUAUUUAGUGAAAGGAGUAAUGAAGGGAAAAGAAGUGCAGAUAGACUAGCAGAACUGGAAGCACAGCCAAGACGAUCUGAACAGAAGCUCGGUGACCUAAGGACGCAGCCGAGACAACUUUUAAUUAAGUUUUAGCUGCAUCCUGAGACCUGCCUAAUCCCAAGAUCACAGUUGCUGUAUGCUCAUUUGCAGCCACUAGAUCUGGAAACUAAAAUUGUUCCUGCUUGAAGUCAGAGCCAUAUUACUACAGUUGAAAGCCAAGAAU